GGAAUAUAGCUUAGUUGGUAGAGUGCUUGCCUUGCAUGCACAAAGGACCUGGGUUCAAUCCUCAGCACCA
rnacentral:tRNA from 1 species